AGGGAAUAGAUACCCUGGUAGUCCACGCAGUAAACGAUGAGUGCUAGUCAUUGGGAUCUUAGAUUUCGGUGGCGAAAGCUAACGCGUUAAGCACUCCGCCUGGGGAGUACGGCCGCAAGGCUAAAACUCAAAGGAAUUGACGGGGACCCGCACAAGCAGUGGAGCAUGUGGUUUAAUUCGAUGCUACGCGAAAACCUUACCAGCUCUUGUAUCCUCACUAUGAUUUUCAGAGAUGAAUUUCUUCACUUCGGGUGGGUGAGAGACAGGUGUUGCAUGGCUGUCGUCAGCUCGUGUCGUGAGAUGUUAGGUUUAAGUCCUUCAACGAGCGCAACCCUCAUCCUUAUUUGCCAUCGGGUUAUGCCGGGAACUAUAAGGAAACUGCCAACGACAAGUUGGAGGAAGGUGGGGAGUGAUGUCAAGUCAUCAUGGCCCGUUAUGGGUCUGGGGUCUACACACAUGCUACAAUGGUGGUCACAACGGGAAAGCGAAGGAGCAAUCUGGAGCCAAUCCUUCAAAAG
rnacentral:rRNA from 1 species